CUCGUAGGCGGUUCGUCGCGUCCGGUGUGAAAGUCCAUCGCUUAACGGUGAAUCCGCGCCGGGUACGGGCGGGCUUGAGUGCGGUAGGGGAGACUGGAAUUCCCGGUGUAACGGUGGAAUGUGUAGAUAUCGGGAAGAACACCAAUGGCGAAGGCAGGUCUCUGGGCCGUCACUGACGCUGAGGAGCGAAAGCGUGGGGAGCGAACA
rnacentral:rRNA from 1 species